UACGUAGGGUCCGAGCGUUGUCCGGAAUUAUUGGGCGUAAAGGGCUCGUAGGCGGUCUGUUGCGUCGGGAGUGAAAACUUACAGCUUAACUGUGAGCGUGCUUCCGAUACGGGCAGACUUGAGGUAUUCAGGGGAGAACGGAAUUCCUGGUGUAGCGGUGAAAUGCGCAGAUAUCAGGAGGAACACCGGUGGCGAAGGCGGUUCUCUGGGAAUAUCCUGACGCUGAGGAGCGAAAGUGUGGGGAGCAAACAGG
rnacentral:rRNA from 1 species